rnacentral:rRNA from 1 species
AGAGUUUGAUCCUGGCUCAGAUUGAACGCUGGCGGCAGGCUUAACACAUGCAAGUCGAGCGGGGGAAGGUAGCUUGCUACCUAACCUAGCGGCGGACGGGUGAGUAAUACUUAGGAAUCUGCCUAUUUGUGGGGGACAACAUUCCGAAAGGAAUGCUAAUACCGCAUACGUCCUACGGGAGAAAGCAGGGGAUCUUCGGACCUUGCGCUAAUAGAUGAGCCUAAGUCGGAUUAGCUAGUUGGUGGGGUAAAGGCCUACCAAGGCGACGAUCUGUAGCGGGUCUGAGAGGAUGAUCCGCCACACUGGGACUGAGACACGGCCCAGACUCCUACGGGAGGCAGCAGUGGGGAAUAUUGGACAAUGGGCGGAAGCCUGAUCCAGCCAUGCCGCGUGUGUGAAGAAGGCCUUAUGGUUGUAAAGCACUUUAAGCGAGGAGGAGGCUACUCUAGUUAAUACCUAGAGAUAGUGGACGUUACUCGCAGAAUAAGCACCGGCUAACUCUGUGCCAGCAGCCGCGGUAAUACAGAGGGUGCGAGCGUUAAUCGGAUUUACUGGGCGUAAAGCGUGCGUAGGCGGCUGAUUAAGUCGGAUGUGAAAUCCCUGAGCUUAACUUAGGAAUUGCAUUCGAUACUGGUCAGCUAGAGUAUGGGAGAGGAUGGUAGAAUUCCAGGUGUAGCGGUGAAAUGCGUAGAGAUCUGGAGGAAUACCGAUGGCGAAGGCAGCCAUCUGGCCUAAUACUGACGCUGAGGUACGAAAGUAUGGGGAGCAAACAGGAUUAGAUACCCUGGUAGUCCAUGCCGUAAACGAUGUCUACUAGCCGUUGGGGCCUUUGAGGCUUUAGUGGCGCAGCUAACGCGAUAAGUAGACCGCCUGGGGAGUACGGUCGCAAGACUAAAACUCAAAUGAAUUGACGGGGGCCCGCACAAGCGGUGGAGCAUGUGGUUUAAUUCGAUGCACGCGAGA